AUCGGCUUUUUGGUAACCCUCGCGUAGCUUGCGUUUUGUAGCCUCCAUCUUCUUGUUGUCGGCGACGGACGACUUCUUGGUCUCACUCAUGUUCUUCUGGUGGUUCGAUAGAAUUGCUGCGGUCGGAAGCGUCUUCGUUGGCGGUACAUAAUGCUGCUUCUUGUGUUCCUCAGCGGUGGGAAGCAUCUUUGCUGGUGGUACGUGCGGCUUCUUGUUGUGUACCUCAGCAGCAGCGGGAAGCAUCUUCUUCUCGUCGACGGCAGCGCGCGGGAGCGGGAUCUUAUCAGCACAGAGAUUGUCGAGCUUCUUCUUCACCGCUAAAGCAGUGGCGCGGGAGGCUUCGAUGGCCACCCUCCACCCGCGCACGACGUCGCGCGCGAGGCUCCGGAUCCGGGAGGACCCGUGGUUGCCGAGGGCGCCGACGGUCCUUGCCAGGUCGGUGGAUGCCAGCAGGUCGUGUGGGACGGGCGCGACCAGCAGCGUCUUGAGGGAUUCGACCAUGACGUCGUCGAGCGCGGCGCAGAGCUGCUCGGCCACGCCGUCAUCCGUGGCGCCGCGGAGCAGCAGGACGAUCUCGCCACGCACGUCCCGAAACUCAGAGCGCGGGUAGCCGCAUGCCUCAAUCACGCCGUCGAUCGCCUCGAAAGCGCGGAAGAAAGGCCUCCACCUCCUCAGGGGAAGCCCGCUCUGCUCGUUGGCCAUGGUAGCGGCUACGGGCAGGCCGGCCGGCGGCGGGUAGGGUCGUUGUAUGCGAGCAAGCGCGGUGUAUGCGAACGGUGGACGAGCGGGUGCAAGAACUGGAGAUUAGAUGGGGAGAGUUGGAGACUUGGCGCGCCUUAUUAUAUAGAACAAGCCGACGGAGUCCGACUCGGGUUUGCGCGUCUCAGCGUGACGAUAACUACUCAACCUUUCCGAUUUCCACGCUCAUCUGCAUUAAAAAAUAAA